rnacentral:rRNA from 1 species
UACAGAGGUCCCAAGCGUUGUUCGGAUUCACUGGGCGUAAAGGGUGCGUAGGCGGUCGGGUAAGUCUGAUGUGAAAUCUCACAGCUUAACUGUGAAACUGCAUUGGAUACUAUCCGGCUAGAGGAAUGGAGGGGAGACUGGAAUACUUGGUGUAGCAGUGAAAUGCGUAGAUAUCAAGUGGAACACCAGUGGCGAAGGCGAGUCUCUGGACAUUUCCUGACGCUGAGGCACGAAAGCGUGGGGAGCGAACAGG